GGAAACCGGAGCUAAUACCGGAUAAUAUAUUGAACCGCAUGGUUCAAUAGUGAAAGACGGUUUUGCUGUCACUUAUAGAUGGAUCCGCGCCGCAUUAGCUAGUUGGUAAGGUAACGGCUUACCAAGGCGACGAUGCGUAGCCGACCUGAGAGGGUGAUCGGCCACACUGGAACUGAGACACGGUCCAG
rnacentral:rRNA from 1 species